rnacentral:rRNA from 1 species
UACGGAGGGUGCAAGCGUUAUCCGGAUUCACUGGGUUUAAAGGGUGCGUAGGUGGUUUUGUAAGUCAGUGGUGAAAGCCCGGAGCUUAACUCCGGAACUGCCAUUGAUACUGCUUAACUUGAAUCAACUUGAGGUGGAUGGAAUAUUACAUGUAGCGGUGAAAUGCUUAGAUAUGUAAUAGAACACCGAUUGCGAAGGCAGCUCACUAAAGUGUAACUGACGCUGAGGCACGAAAGCGUGGGGAUCAAACAGG